GUGCUUGCAUUGUCAACACAUAUUCUAAAAUUGGAACAAUGCAGAGAAGAUCAGCAUGCCCAUGUUUAAGAAUGACAUGCAAAUUUGUGAAUGCUCCAUAUAUUUUU